GCGGGCGUGGCGGAAUGGCAGACGCGCCAGAUUUAGGAUCUGGUGCCUUCGGCGUAUGAGUUCGAGUCUCUUCGCCCGCACCA
rnacentral:tRNA from 1 species